UGUACCCCACCAGUCUAGGGGUGGAGGGGUAUGUCUUGUCUAUGUGUACCCCACCAGUCUAGGGGUGGAGGGGUAUGUCUUGUCUAUGUGUACCCCACCAGUCUAGGGGUGGAGGGGUAUGUCUUGUCUAUAUGUACCCCACCAGUCUAGAGGGGUAUGUCUUGUCUAUAUGUACCCCACCAGUCUAGGGGGGUAUGUCUUGUCUAUAUGUACCCCACCAGUCUAGGGGUGGAUGUCUUGUCUAUAUGUACCCCACCAGUCUAGAGGGGUAUGUCUUGUCUAUAUGUACCCCACCAGUCUAGGGGUGGAGGGGUAUGUCUUGUCUAUGUGUACCCCACCAGUCUAGGGGUGGAGGGGUAUGUCUUGUCUAUAUGUACCCCACCAG
ensembl:lncRNA